GACGUAGGGUGCGAGCGUUGUCCGGAUUUAUUGGGCGUAAAGAGCUCGUAGGCGGCUUGUUGCGUCGACUGUGAAAACCCGCGGCUUAACCGCGGGCUUGCAGUUGAUACGGGCAGGCUAGAGUUCGGUAGGGGAGACUGGAAUUCCUGGUGUAGCGGUGAAAUGCGCAGAUAUCGGGAGGAACACCAAUGGCGAAGGCAGCUCGCUGGGACGUUACUGACGCUGAGACGCGAAAGCGUGGGGAGCAAACAGG
rnacentral:rRNA from 1 species